UUCCAGGACAGCCAGUUUUCCAUACAGACCAAGGCAGAGCAAUAUAUGGCAUGCUUUCGAGAUUAUGCGUCGAGCCUAGAUGUGUCAUAGCCAGGUGCCAUCUUUUGCAGCAUCUUUUUAAGAAAUACUAUAUUCUUAGCACCUUUUUCGCUUUCCACAUGCCUCCCUCCCACGUGCAGUUUGGCAGUCAAUAUGUCACAUGUAACAUUGACAGCAAUAGAAGAAUUUAAGAACAAGCCCCUUAGAAAUUGGAGUCAAAGGAGACUAAAUGCCAAGCACAGAGGGCACGCACCUCUUCCUAUCUGAUGGAUUCCAAGCUUGCCAGGAGCACAAGAAGGUACUUGAUACACUUCUCAAAGUCUCUGAAAACAAAUGCCUUUGGUUCAUAGUCCUCUUGAGAAAAGUUUAGAAACUUGAUAUAAUGCUUUUGCUAUAAGCUUUUGUAGUAGAUUUAAGAAAAAAAGCAUUUGUUAUCUAGAAAGCUUUUUCUUUCUAGCCUGUGACAAAAUAUCUUCCUAUCUUCAUUUUGCUUGCACAUCUGCAGCACAGCCCAGUUUGCAACUUUGAUCUGGUUUUCAUUUUCCAUGGAGGCUCUGCCUCUUCCCAUGUCUCCCAGCCUCCACACAGCACCCAGGAAUGUCUAAGCACAAUUUCUACAAGCAUCUUGUAAGGGGGAUGGAUGAGAUUAGUCCAGUUUCUCUCUUGCUACUAGGUCCUUUGCUUGAAGAUGAUGAAGAUGUUUUUAGUUAGGGAUCUUCUCUCUGCUGGAGGCCUAUAACACUAUAGGAAUUAGGGGAAAACCUUUUCCAUAAUUGAGAGCAAGUGACACACCUACUUUUCAGGUUCAUCCACCUCCAGUGGAAUGUUUUCAGUCAAAUGAGAAAGAAAAUAAUUGAUCUUUAAUAAUACAGCCCUAUAUUCAGUAGAUGCAGUUUAUACUAAGGUUACAAUAUAAAUAUAUACAAAAUAGGUGCCUUUUUGAUUAUGCUUGUUUAUCAUUAUGGUCUUAGAAAGGAAACCAAGCAAGCAAGCAAGCUUCUGCAUAUUCUAUAGUAAUAUUUUAUGAUACAUGAUCAAUAUUUUUGUGGUGAGAAGUGGGAUACCCUUGAAAGAAAGAUACUACAGGUGGUAGCUAGUUGUAUUUUCCUUCUAAAGGUUUAUAAUACUAGAAAAUGCUGACUUAUUCAAUUUUCUGAGAAGUUUUUUUGUGGAUUUAUAUAUAGUUGAGAUAUAUAGGCAUUAAGUUUAGGUUUGGGGUUUAAAAUAAUUAUGGUGAGACAGACUAGCUAUAUUAUGAGACUGAAUUCACUGCAUAAUUGAACUUUAUGACCUGAUUAUAUUUUAACUGUUUGCCUAUGAUAAUCUGUUUGUGGCUUGUGUUGCGCUGAUAAUCUAAAUUAUCAUUGCAUUGUAUGGGGUAAUAAAACAUGAUGAUAGAGCUUCAGUUAAGCAGGAAGCUAUGUAAACCUUUAAAGAUGCUAAAAAUGAAGGUCUUUCUGAAGUAUUCCAUGCUCCUUAGGACCCUUCUCCAGGCAAGUAGCUGUCAAUAACUGAUGACCAAAAAAGUCAAGCUGUGUGAAACUUCUGUGAUCAUCAUUCCAGGAUGUGUAAGACCACUAGAAUCCUUAUGCCUGGAAACUUCUCUGAGCAAACGUCCUUCCCAAUUAUCUGUAACUUCAGUGUAUCUACAAGAGCUUGCCAUGCUUAUUGUGUCUGGUGUAUUGUAUCCUGGUUGCAUAGCACACACUUCACCGUUGUCAAUUAUUGAUUGUUAAAGAUGAUUUCCUUUAAAGGAAAGAGAAAACUGAAUCGCAGCAUCCUUCCUUCCUGUCCAUACAAUGAAUUGCUGAGCAUUUUGGAAGUUGCAACAAGUGUGUAACAGGCAUGAUAUUUGUAGAACUGUUGGUUUCUGACCUGUGAUAAAAACACAAAUUUGAAUGAUGUAGUUUGGCUUCUGUUUGCUUUGAAAUAUGCACAGUUGUGGUUUGUGGUUAAUUUGUAAAAUUGUACUAACUUUGAGAACAUAAUGAUUUUGAAAGAAGCAUUAAAUGUUUUUUCCCCCAAUGGAAGGGUAUCACAGAAUGAUAUAAGGUUAUUAGUAUAAUUUGGCAUUUGUUAUGCAAGUUGUGAACACCAGCUAUUAAAAUAUAUUUUAGUAGAAAUGCUUUAAUUCAUGUUGUUUUCCUCUACACUGUGAAUCUUAAGCCUUGGUGGACCAGAGACACAUUGUGAUGUCCAAAGGACUAACCUAUGCAAAUGAGUUCACAUCUUAUAUUGAUAUCACAAUAAACAUGUGAUAAGGCAUUAUUUCUCCUCAUAAUGUACAGCAGUAUUGAAAUAACAAAGGAAGCCCAGCCUCCCAUAUAUUACACUGUAGUCCCUCACAAUCCCUUCAAGGCUACCGAAAUCAUUAGCAUUUAUGUAAAUCAGACUGAUAUCAACUAAAGCGACUUGAAUGAUUCUGGACAGAAAAUGAUGGACAAGCAUCUCGACUGGAUUUCAUAGAACUAUGUUCUCACAUACUCUCUGUUCAGGGUCUUGGUAUUCUAUGUCUUCUAUCUGUAUUUGUAAAGCCUUAUGAUGAAUUGAUUUCCUAUCAACACACUCAGUUUGCUUAAAUAAAUUCAGGAUGUAACACAAUGGUUCUAC
rnacentral:lncRNA from 1 species